GAUGAACGCUAGCGGCAGGCUUAAUACAUGCAAGUCGUGGGGCAGCAGGUCUGUAGCAAUACAGAUGCUGGCGACCGGCAAACGGGUGCGGAACACGUACACAACCUUCCUUUAAGUGGGGAAUAGCCCAGAGAAAUUUGGAUUAAUACCCCGUAACAUAUAGAAGUGGCAUCGCUUUUAUAUUAUAGCAGCAAUGCGCUUGGAGAUGGGUGUGCGGCUGAUUAGAUAGUUGGCGGGGUAACGGCCCACCAAGUCGACGAUCAGUAACUGGUGUGAGAGCACGACCAGUCACACGGGCACUGAGACACGGGCCCGACUCCUACGGGAGGCAGCAGUAAGGAAUAUUGGUCAAUGGACGCAAGUCUGAACCAGCCAUGCCGCGUGGAGGAUGAAGGUCCUCUGGAUUGUAAACUUCUUUUAUUUGGGAAGAAAUCUAUCUUUUCUUGGAUAGUUGACGGUACCAGAUGAAUAAGCACCGGCUAACUCCGUGCCAGCCGCCGCGGUAAUAC
rnacentral:rRNA from 1 species